ensembl:miRNA
AGGGUUCUCAAUUAAGGUAGGUGGAAUAGUAUAACAAUAUAUCACAUGUUGUUAUAGUGUUCCACCUUCCCUGAUGUGCCU